rnacentral:rRNA from 1 species
AUGAAUAAAGUUGAGUUGAACUAUGUGUCUAAUAAUUUUAUUGAUGUUCUUUUUAUAAAUGGGAAUACUGUACAAUGGCGUUUUACGGGGUUUUAUGGGCACCCCAACUGGAGUGACCGUGCUCUGUCAUGGGAUGAUAUUCGAAACUUGUAUAAAAAAGGCGAUCACCCAUGGGUAGUUUUAGGAGAUUUUAAUGAAAUUUUGCUCUCAUCAGAGAAAGAGGGAGGGAAUGCGAGACCAAAUGUGAUGAUGAGAGAUUUUCGAAAUUGUUUGGGGGGAUGUGGACUAGCACAUAUGGGAUGUAUGGGUGAUUUAUUUACAUGGAGGAGGGGCGAAAUCAGGGAAAGACUGGAUCGAGCAGUCUGUAAUGUGGAUUGGGCGACUAAAUUCCCUCGAUCGGCGGUUAUAAACGAAGAACAUGUACACUCAGACCAUCGCCCUAUUAUU